UGGGGCGUAGCUCAGUGGCAGAGCGCUUGCCUGUCAAGCAGAAGGCCCUGGGUUCCAUCCCCAGCACAGCAA
rnacentral:tRNA from 1 species